UCCAGGGUAGCCUAGUGGACAUGGCACCUGCCCGGUAAGCAGAAGGUUUGGGUUCGAUUCCCGCCCCUGGAC